rnacentral:rRNA from 1 species
AGCUCCAUUAGCGUAUAUUAAAGUUGUUGCAGUUAAAAAGCUCGUAGUUGGAUUUAUGUGCUAGCGAGUCGGUCGGUCGCAAGGCUUGUUUACUGAUUCGCUUGUGCUUUUUCUCCGAGACCUCUUGUACACUUUACUGGGUGCAGGUGUGUAUUGGAGACGUUUACUUUGAAAAAAUUAGAGUGUUCAAAGCAGGCUUAUGCCGUUGAAUAUAUUAGCAUGGAAUAAUGAGAUAGGACCUUGGUACUAUUUUGUUGGUUUGCGCACCAAGGUAAUGAUUAAUAGGGACAGUUGGGGGUAUUCGUAUUCCAUUGUCAGAGGUGAAAUUCUUGGAUUUCUGGAAGACGAACUACUGCGAAAGCAUUUACCAAGGAUGUUUUCAUUAAUCAAGAACGAAAGU